UAACGCGUGAGGAACCUGCCUUCCAGAGGGGGACGAACAGUUGGAAACGACUGCUAAUACCGCAUGAUGCAUUGAAGUCGCAUGGCUUUGAUGUCAAAGAUUUAUCGCUGGAAGAUGGCCUCGCGUCUGAUUAGCUAGUUGGUGAGGUAACGGCCCACCAAGGCGACGAUCAGUAGCCGGACUGAGAGGUUGGCCGGCCACAUUGGGACUGAGAUACGGCCCAGACUCCUACGGAAGGCAGCAG
rnacentral:rRNA from 1 species